UUUCUUUCUUUUCUCUCUUUCUUUUCUCUCUUUCGUUUCUCUCUUUCUUUCUUUCUUUUCUCUCUUUCUUUUUCUCUCUGCCAGUUUCCGACCAAAUAGAGUUUUCACCCAAUAAAUGGCGCGCAAAAUUCUAACUUUCCCAGCUUCUCCGUUUGAUUGUUCUGGUUUCUCCGAACCGCACUUUUGUUGAUACAAACUUACUUAAAUUAUUUUGAAAUUAACAAUAAGAGAAGAUGAAGCAUUGAUCUUGAUAUCAAUUCUUAAAGUGUUAAGCUCUGUAAAGUUAAUUUGAUGUAUUUUGUCUUCCACAAAUCGAAUACUGCGUAACAAAGCAGAUCAGUGAACGGCUAAACCGCCCCUGAUAACAUGUUUUUUUUUAAGUUCACGGCCAAUGUAAACAUUUAGAAAUUAAAAUAUUUGAAUUCUGUGUCUAUAUGCUUGAUCCGUUAUACUAAACAUCUGUUUCUUAAGAAAUAUUAAAGAGGUUAGAAAAAACAUGUUUAAAAUCUGAAUUAAAGGGACUUCCCUUAAAGUGUACUUAUGUGAUAAUUUUGUAUAUUUGCCGAUAAUUUCUUUAUCCUCGACGAAUAAUGAUUUGGGAGAAAAUCUAGUUUUUCGUGAACACUUCCUUUAAUAUGCUCUGAGAUGAAACACUUGCCUGUAAUUUAUAAAGAUAUUGAUAUGUGCCUUUACAAUAUACAGUAUUAAUAAUUGUUUUUUAUGUAAUGAGAUAUUAGAAUUUGAUCUUGAAUUGAAAUACAUGUUUUUAAUGCAAA